CGCACAUUGCGCCCUUUGGUAUUCCGAAGGGCAUGCCUGUUCGAGCGUCAUUACACCACUCAAGCUCAGCUUGGUGUUGGACGUCGCGGAGAUCGCGCGUCUUAAAAUCUUCGGCUGAGUCAGAUCAUCUCCCAGCGUAGUGGCAAAACAAUCGCGACGAGUGUGAGAUGGCGACGCCGCAAAACCUACAUCACAGGUUGACCUCGGAUCAGGUAGGGAUACCCGCUGAACUUAA
rnacentral:misc_RNA from 1 species